CUAGCAAUUUCCAACUGUGAACACCAGGAGGCGACAAUGUAAAUGAAUGUUCCCAGGAUGUUUCCUCUUCGGCCUCAAGGGGCAACAAUGAGCCAUAACGCAACCUAUUUAAACUGGAAGCUCCACUUCCCCCAGUCCUUUUAUCCUGUGCUUUGACCAGAAGUCAACAGGAGAGUGCAGUCAGCUUGUAUAAUGCAGAACCAACGUCCCAGAAGUUCGUUCUUCUGUUACGCUAUCGUCAUGCUCUGUUAUCGUAUGCCAAUUGGUAGACACAUGUACGGGCCAGAUGGAGGAUGAUGGCUGUGUUUGAGCUUCAAGCAGAAUGUCCCAGUGAUGAAUGGGUUUGUGGUUAUAAUGCCGCAAUCAGCCAUGGCAGUAUAAUGACUUGAGAGUUUCUGAAACUCCAACAAGAGGACAGCCACCAUCUUCUUGAGGGUUAACACUUUGGGAGCUGAGCAGCUGUAAUGGACGCAGUUGAGCAGUCUUGAGCCGAAAUUGUUACUUUCCAGGUCGGAACAAGACACUGCAAACACCUGAUGGGAGAUGUGGAACCUUUUUUUUUUUUUUUUCAGAUAACAAGCAUGUACUUGUUCUGUUAUAAAUGAUCACUGGCAGUUUUAUCUGCAAGCAACAGUUGUCUUACACAAAUUGUUGCACGGGGGAACAGUAGUUACUGCUGUCGACUCACAGAAAGUAGUCACUGGGGGACCCUUUGUCUGUGUAUGAAAGUGCUUUCAAAUGAUCUGUAUUUAACAUUCACACUGCAUGUUGAAAUAACAAGUGUCUCAAAGAAAUAAAACUCCUUUUUAAAAAUG